UUUCAUUUGGUGUGGUCACCAGGCAAUUCUGUGAUCACAGAUUUAGAAACCACAGGUACUUUGCAUUACAUUGGAGCCGUCAAGACAGAGGUGUAAACAUGUCGAAUUCAAUGGUAGUCAUGCAGCCCCAGCCUGUUAUGGUCUCCAGAGAUUCAGAUCAGUGGGGGUCUGGUAUCUGUGACUGUUGCAAUGACGUUCCUGAAUGUUGCUUUGCUUACUGGUGUUUCUCGUGUUUCACAUGCAUAAUAGCAAAGGAAUACGGUGAGUGUUUAUGUCUCCCCCUUUUGGAUGUCUGUGGCAUCGUCCCACCUAUAACAAUGUCCAUAAGGGUCUCAAUGCGCCAGCGUUAUGGCAUUGAGGUAAGAAUCAUUAA